ensembl:snRNA U2 U2 spliceosomal RNA
GGAACUUCUCGGCUCCUUAGAGUUCAGAUCAAGUGUGGUACCUGUUCUUAUCAGUUUAAUAUCUGAUAUGUCCUUUAUUUGAGGACUGUGUAUUAAAUUGAUUUUCAAAAGAGGGGGCUGGAAUAGGAGCUGGCAUAGCAUAAAAGGGAAGGUCCUUUCUUGGAUUGAGAACUGGUUAAAAGACAGGGAAUAAAG